CAUAGUGAUGAAUUAUAUCACAAUUGUCACUACCUCUGAGGCAUAUUCUUGGUUUAUUGUUUUUUUUUUUUGUUACCUAUGUUUGAACUUAACUAGUUCUUAGAAGCCUGGUG